AACUGCGAGUGAAGCGGGAAAAGCUCAAAUUUAAAAUCUGGCGGUCCUUGGCCGUCCGAGUUGUAAUUUAGAGAAGCGUCUUCCGCGCCGGACCGUGCACAAGUCUCCUGGAAUGGAGCGUCGUAGAGGGUGAGAAUCCCGUCUUUGGCACGGAUGACCGGUGCUUCUGUGAUGCGCUCUCAAAGAGUCGAGUUGUUUGGGAAUGCAGCUCAAAAUGGGUGGUGAACUCCAUCUAAAGCUAAAUAUUGGCGAGAGACCGAUAGCGAACAAGUACCGUGAGGGAAAGAUGAAAAGCACUUUGGAAAGAGAGUGAAACAGUACGUGAAAUUGUUGAAAGGGAAACGCUUGAAGUCAGUCGCGUCGACCGAGACUCAGCCUCGCCUUGGCUUGGUGUACUUCUCGGCACGACGGGUCAGCGUCGAUUUCGUCUCUCGGAAAAUGGCAAGGGAAAGGUGGCACCUUUGCGGGUGUGUUAUAGUCUCCUGUCGCAUGUGAGGGGUGAGAUCGAGGAACUCAGCACGCACCUUUGGUGUCGGGGCUUCG
rnacentral:rRNA from 2 species